rnacentral:rRNA from 1 species
GACGAACGCUGGCGGCGUGCUUAACACAUGCAAGUCGAACGGCAAGGCCCUGCUUUUGUGGGGUGCUCGAGUGGCGAACGGGUGAGUAACAAGUGAGUAACCUGCCCUUGACUUUGGGAUAACUUCAGGAAACUGGGGCUAAUACCGGAUAGGAGCUCCUGCUGCAUGGUGUGGGUUGGAAAGUUUCGGCGGUUGGGGAUGGACUCGCGGCUUAUCAGCUUGUUGGUGGGGUAGUGGCUUACCAAGGCUUUGACGGGUAGCCGGCCUGAGAGGGUGACCGGCCACAUGGGGACUGAGAUACGGCCCAGACGCCUACGGGAGGCAGCAGUGGGGAAUAUUGCACAAUGGGCGGAAGCCAGAUGCAGCAACGCCGCGUGCGGGAUGACGGCCUUCGGGUUGUAAACCGCUUUCGCCUGUGACGAAGCGUGAGUGACGGUAAUGGGUAAAAAAGCACCGGCUAACUACGUG